rnacentral:rRNA from 1 species
GAUGAACGCUGGCGGCGUGUUUAAGGCAUGCAAGUCGAAUGCACCUCGGGUGCAUGGCGAACGGGUGAGUAACACAUUGGUAACCUACCUCUGUCUCGGGGAUAACCUAGAGAAAUCUUGGAUAAUACCCGAUGGACUUUAAUCUCGUAUGAGUUUUAAAGUAAAAGUCCGCUGGACAGAGAGGGGCCUAUGUCUGAUUAGCUUGUUGGUGAGGUAAAAGCUCACCAAGGCUCUGAUCAGUAGCGGGGAUGGAAGUCUGAACCGCCUCACUGGGACUGAGACACUGCCCAG